UGGAGGUCCAGGCCGCUUCC
rnacentral:siRNA from 1 species